UUAAUUGAAACCAAAAAGAGGUAUAUCACUGUUAAUGAUAAAACUGAGUUUAAACUCCAAUUAAA
rnacentral:tRNA from 1 species